rnacentral:rRNA from 1 species
GAUGAACGCUAGCGGCAGGCUUAACACAUGCAAGUCGAGGGGUAUAGUAGCAAUACUAGAGACCGGCGCACGGGUGCGUAACGCGUAUGCAAUCUACCUUUUGCAGAGGGAUAGCCCAGAGAAAUUUGGAUUAAUACCUCAUAGUAUUAUAGUAUGGCAUCAUAUUAUAAUUAAAGUCACAACGGCAAAAGAUGAGCAUGCGUCCCAUUAGUUAGUUGGUAAGGUAACGGCUUACCAAGACUACGAUGGGUAGGGGUCCUGAGAGGGAGAUCCCCCACACUGGUACUGAGACACGGACCAGACUCCUACGGGAGGCAGCAGUGAGGAAUAUUGGACAAUGGGCGCAAGCCUGAUCCAGCCAUGCCGCGUGCAGGAUGACGGUCCUAUGGAUUGUAAACUGCUUUUGCACAGGAAGAAACAUCCCGACGUGUCGGGACUUGACGGUACUGUGAGAAUAAGGAUCGGCUAACUCCGUGCC